UACGUAGGUGGCAAGCGUUGUCCGGAUUUAUUGGGCGUACAGCGAGCGCAGGCGGUUCCUUAAGUCUGAUGUGAAAACCCACGGCUCAACCGUGGAAGGUCAUUGGAAACUGGGGAACUUGAGUGCAGAAGAGGAGAGUGGAAUUCCAUGUGUAGCGGUGAAAUGCGUAGAUAUAUGGAGGAACACCAGUGGCGAAGGCGACUCUCUGGUCUGUAACUGACGCUGAGGCUCGAAAGCGUGGGGAGCAAACAGGAUUAGA
rnacentral:rRNA from 1 species